rnacentral:rRNA from 1 species
AGAGUUUGAUCAUGGCUCAGAGCGAACGCUGGCGGCAGGCUUAACACAUGCAAGUCGAGCGGGCGUAGCAAUACGUCAGCGGCAGACGGGUGAGUAACGCGUGGGAACGUACCUUUUGGUUCGGAACAACACAGGGAAACUUGUGCUAAUACCGGAUAAGCCCUUACGGGGAAAGAUUUAUCGCCGAAAGAUCGGCCCGCGUCUGAUUAGCUAGUUGGUGAGGUAACGGCUCACCAAGGCGACGAUCAGUAGCUGGUCUGAGAGGAUGAUCAGCCACAUUGGGACUGAGACACGGCCCAAACUCCUACGGGAGGCAGCAGUGGGGAAUAUUGGACAAUGGGCGCAAGCCUGAUCCAGCCAUGCCGCGUGGGUGAUGAAGGCCCUAGGGUUGUAAAGCUCUUUUGUGCGGGAAGAUAAUGACGGUACCGCAAGAAUAAGCCCCGGCUAACUUCGUGCCAGCAGCCGCGGUA